AAGAGUUAGCAUGGCCCCUGCACAGGGAUGACACGCAAAUUCGUGAAGCAUUCCAUAUUUUU
rnacentral:snRNA from 1 species